CAGAGCUGCAUGCUGGGUGCGGGAAGAGUACCAGGAUUCUUUGGGCGGUGAGUGCCAGAGGGCCCCAGUCACCCAGAACCCCCACCCCGAGUCAAAGCGCUGAAAUGAGCCCCGCGGCAGGGGCCGUGUUCAUUACCUUUGAAAAUGCUCAGUUCUUCUUCGGUCCAGGGCGGGGCAGAAGGGAGGAUGCAGAGGGAGAAACAGGACACGAGAUGACCAAGGUUUCACAUAAUAAUGGUAAUUCAGUUCUGCACAUUAGCUCUCCCUGCCAUCAUCCAUCCGGUUCAUAGAAGUGGACAGGAUAUGAGGAAGGCUUCAGUGAUCACUGUCCUAGCCAGAUUCUGCCCCAGGACCACAAGCUUAAACUCCAGAUGCCCAAGCCCCGGCUUAUAAAUGGUUCCCCUCGCCAUGUUUCCCAAGCUGUGGAGGAGUGGGAAGGUUGAGUGGAGGAAGGGAUAUCUGCCUCCAACCACGCUAGACCCGACCUGCUGUCACCGCCCGCCCCAGCUGGAUCCAGAAUGGAAACCUGGAAUAGCAGGCAAAGCCACCCCCGACACUCCAUGUUCCUCCCCAGAACCAGCUCCCUCUCCUACCAGCUGAAUUUUCAGGACAGAGCUGCCAGGUGGCCAGUCCACAGGUGGAAGUGGAAGGAGAUUGAAAGGACCUGGGAAGAGGUUCAUUGGUCAUGGUGCCUGGCUGGUGCUUUCCAAAGCCAAGGUUGCUGGUGUGUGCCUGACAGUUCCAUAGGAAGUAGGGACUUCUGGGAGGGAGGAGGAGGUGGAAGGUGCCCUGGUCAGCAAAGUGGGGUCCAAGCCUUCUAGUCCCAACUGGGCACAUCACUUCAUCUCUGAGAGUCUCAUUUUCUUCAGCCACAACUAAUGAACAAAGUCUCCUUCAGCUCCCAAAUCCGAAUAGCUUUAAGGAUAUCCCCUGCUUGCUGCUUGUUAUUAUGUCAGGCCCUGUGCUAAGCGCUUUGCAUAUAUUACCUCAUUUAAUCCCCAUUUUGGAAGUCAGGAAACAGCCUCUGAGACAUUUUGUAACUUAGCUAAGGUCACUCAGUUGACAAAUAGUGAAGUGAUGGGAUUCAGUAGCCUCUGCUGCUAGCCACUGCCUCAGGGCAGGUAAUUAUUUCUAUGAAUUCAGCAGGGCCAAGCCAACUAGACUAAGCAAAAGAAAUGAGGAUCCAAAAAAAUUCAUGCGCUUUUUCAUGCGCGGUGAAUGCAGGAAAAGUCAUAUAUAUAUAUGGCUAUGUAAAUCAGCAACUGCAAUAUUUGAAUCAGCAUGAAUAAAAAACCAUUCCUCUGUCUCUUAAAAAAAUAGGCAGAUCUGUUUUCUUCUUCCUCAUUUCUAUCUGAGCCUCUGUACCAAGGAGAAACGGGAAUAAGACAGGACUAGAUUCUUCCCAAACACCAGGUGAUGCGGUCAGUGAGGAGAGCUCCAGAAUCAAAAGAUGAAGAAGGACCUGCCUCUAGCCCCCAAGAGGUAUGCUGUUCUUCCCACACAUCUCAGCUCUCUCCCAGCACUGAGUCCAGCCCUCCACAGAAAGGGGAGGAAAAUGCCCACCCCUAGCCCUGCCCUUCCCCAACCCUCCACACAUCACUCCUUCUUCUUCCUGCCCUCCUGCACAGUCUGAUAAUGGUGCUCUCUCUUGCUCAGCCCUUUAGCCCUGCAGACCUAGGACAGGGCAUGACUUGGGAAGGCUCCUGUGCACAGGGUGCACUGGAGGAGGUGCCCCAGGCCCUGGGCCAUGGAGAUAAUUGUGUAUCUGCUUCUCUUUUACCUUUUGGGUGGGUAGCCUCUCCUUUUUUAAGGGACACUGACUUCAACCAUGUCUACUAAUCCCUCAGUAUGGCUCCCUGGGCACUCAAGAGCAACAGUUCCAGGCAGGGACCCCCACAUCCUACUCUAAUUACUACUGCAGACACAGAGGAGACCAAUUCCAUUCCUUCCCUGGCCUCUUGGAUUCUUUGUUUACUCACCUCUUUCCA
rnacentral:lncRNA from 10 species